AGAGUUUGAUCCUGGCUCAGAAUGAACGCUGGCGGCGUGCCUAACACAUGCAAGUCGAACGAGAAAGGGGCCUUCGGGUCCUGAGUAAAGUGGCAGACGGGUGAGUAACGCGUAGGUAACCUGUCCUCGAGUGUGGAAUAACUUGGCGAAAGCCGAGCUAAUACCGCAUGACAUCCUUGGGCCCCUGGGUCCGAGGAUCAAAGAUGGCGAGCUUCGAGUGCUGUCGCUCGAGGGGGGGCCUGCGUCCCAUUAGCUAGUUGGUGAGGUAACGGCUCACCAAGGCUUCGAUGGGUAGCCGAGCUGAGAGGCUGAUCGGCCACACUGGAACUGAGACACGGUCCAGACUCCUACGGGAGGCAGCAGUGGGGAAUUUUGCGCAAUGGGGGAAACCCUGACGCAGCGACGCCGCGUGGGCGAUGAAGGCCUUCGGGUCGUAAAGCCCUGUCAGGAGGGACGAACAGCGCGGGUGUUAAUACCACCUGCGCCUGACGGUACCUCUGGAGGAAGCCCCGGCCAACUCCGUGCCAGCAGCCGCGGUAAUACGGAGGGUGCAAGCGUUAUUCGGAAUUAUUGGGCGUAAAGGGCGUGUAGGCGGCUCUGUGUGUCUUCUGUGAAAGCCCUCGGCUCAACCGAGGAAUUGCAGGAGAAACUGCGGAGAUCGAGUCCGGGAGAGGAGAGCGGAAUUCCCAGUGUAGCGGUGAAAUGCGUAGAUAUUGGGAGGAACACCCGUGGCGAAGGCGGCUCUCUGGACCGGUACUGACGCUGAGACGCGAAAGCUAGGGGAGCAAACAGGAUUAGAUACCCUGGUAGUCCUAGCUGUAAACUCUGAGCACUUGGUGUGGCGGGUAUCGACCCCUGCCGUGCCGAAGCUAACGCAUUAAGUGCUCCGCCUGGGGAGUACGGCGGCAAGGCUGAAACUCAAAGGAAUUGACGGGGGCCCGCACAAGCGGUGGAGCAUGUGGUUUAAUUCGA
rnacentral:rRNA from 1 species